rnacentral:rRNA from 1 species
UACGUAGGGUGCGAGCGUUAAUCGGAAUUACUGGGCGUAAAGCGUGCGCAGGCGGUGAGCUGUGUCCGAUAUGAAAGCCCCGGGCUUAACCUGGGAAUGGCAUUGGAAACUGGCUCGCUGGAGUGUGGCAGAGGGGGGUGGAAUUCCGCGUGUAGCAGUGAAAUGCGUAGAGAUGCGGAGGAACACCGAUGGCGAAGGCAGCCCCCUGGGCUAACACUGACGCUCAGGCACGAAAGCGUGGGGAGCAAACAGG